UAACAAUAAUAUGGUAUCGUUUUGAAGAUAACAUUUUUUUUAAUCAUAAAGGUAAAAGAAAGUAUAAGGUCGGUUGGUAGUUCCAAGUCUAAGAAGCGUUUACAUGGAGAAAAUUGCGGACAACACACUGUUCCUGAAGAUCCGGCAGUUUUGAACUUCACACGUAAAGGGGAAUACAGGCUGCGUCUUCCCGUCGGGGUAUCAAAACGCGCUGGUUUUACAAAGAAGCUUCAUACACUUUUGGUUGAAAACAUGCAGGGGCAAGUUAGUACUUAUGAAGUCAAACGGGAAAAAAACGGAAGUACGAAACGCUAUUCAGUCAUAGACUGGCCUGUAUUUAUGGCGGAAAAUAAGUUGAAUGAUGGCGACAUGCUUGAUUUCACUUAUGUGACUUCAAAGAAGACCGUCAUCUUAAAAAACGUCCGACAUGUCUAACCAAAAGUGCACCGAACUUUUUAUAAACCGUCUUUAUAACAACUGUUUGGACUUUCUUUUGGUAACUAUCCUUUGAACAUGUAACCAUCUGGAAUUAUUUCUUACUAGACUUUUGUAUGUUA